CAUUGGCCUGGUGGUCCCAGAGUUAUCCUGGCAGCCAGUGGGGAAGACAAGGAGGGUUUGAGCAUGGCAGAAGGAGACACCCUGAGAGUAGUGGAUUACAAUAUUUUUGGGAAGGUGCAAGGGGUGUUUUUCCAUAAGCAUACUCAGGCUGAGGGUAAAAGGCUGGGAUUGGUAGGCUGGGUCCAGAACACUGACCGGAGCACAGUGCAAGGACAAUUGCAAGGUCCCAUCUUCAAGGAGCGUCAUAUGCAGGAAUGGCUUGAAACAAAGGGAAGUCCCAAAUCACACAUCGACAAAGCCAACUUCAACAAUGAGAAAGUCAUCUUAAAGUUGGAUUACUCAGACUUCCAAAUUGUAAAAUAAUGGCCUGAAUUUAAGUUUUCUAAGAUAAACUCAGUGGUUUGGUUUUUAUUGUUAAUAGAGAUAGAACUAUUGUGUGUUAAUAUUAGCAUUAGUCAAUAAGUUAUUUUAGUGUCAGUUAUUUGAAUGUUAUUAUAUAUUACCUAUAUGAUGGAAGGAUUACAAUUAUACACAAAUCUAAUCAAUAAAAACAUUAGAACCU